rnacentral:lncRNA from 1 species
CGAACUGGUAAGUUAGUUCUCUCUCUGCUUUUAAGAAAAGAUGUUAUAAAAGUCUAUUACUACUCGGCAUACAAAUACUAUCUUUGGUUUGUCAAAGUCUGCGCCACCCUACAUAUCCCUGACGCGCGUUUCGCUUAUUAGCUCAUCAGAAGGAAACCGGGGUCCUGUACCUCCCGGUCUUUUAAAGGUCAUACUCUAUUCCUAUUGGUAACCGUUAUUUUUGAAUUAACCAAUGCAAGAGAGGGUACUCGUCUGUUGUAAUUUGACGUAAUUAAUUGAAGACCGGGUUUGUUAACCCUUAAUGUAUAAGUCGCUGGACGAAACAGACAGUUAAUGUUUGAAAACUGUAUAAAUAAAUAAGUAAGGAAAAGAUCUAUUAUUGUAUUAUGCAGAAUUAUUAAAAAACUUCAAAAGAAGAUUGUUAUAGAUUGUAUUAUUUCUUAUAGUUAUUGUCUAUUUGGAAGUUUGUUAAUGAGUGCUUUACUUUUCUGGGUUCGUUGCUCGUGGCAGAGAAAGACUGAACUUCCUACGAUAUGUCAUCUGCUGUUAAUAUAAUAUUAGAAUUAUGAACUCUACAGUUUCAGUCCGACAUAUCUGAGGAUAAUACCUAUUUAAUCAGAAAUUUCAAGAUGACAUUACAUUGGGCUGAUUUAACUAUCACGUCCCCAGGUUCUUAUUAAACCCACAUUGUUCUUACCACUAUCUGACAAUUGUUAGUUUCCCAGAUUCUAUGUUACCCAACUCCCAAUGGGCAAAUAGUUUCUAACAGUUCCAUCAUACUUUCCCGUAGGUGACGGGCGAUAGAAUUUUUUAUAUAUCAGGAUUUCAAUCUCUAAAGAAAGCCUAAUGGACAGCUUAAUAACAAGUUAUUAGUCUGUCAGUUAUACUUGGACCGUCUCUAUUAUAUUAAUAAAUACAAAUAUUUAAAGUUCUUUCAUAAUAAUGAAGUCAUAAUUAGGAUUUAUUUAUAAAGAGAAUAGGGGCUGAGACGUGUUAAUAAUUUUCAACACGAACAGCUUUUGCAUUCAAGCCCCUGUAUUCGUUGUUUUCUUAUGCAAACUCUUAAAUGAUUGGGAUCAAUUGGUGAAAAGGACCAAUUUGUCUGUCUAGAUAGAAAUGCUUAAAGAAAUUAUUAAUAAGUCAAAACUUAAUAUUAGCAGCUACUAUCAAUUUAUCAAGGUCUCUACCCAUGGAUAAAAGGGGUAAAAUUGAACUCUUCAUUGAGACCCGUAGGGGUCAAUGUCUUAAAGGUAUGUAUCCACCUUGACUCUUGUUUUAAUAAUUUGAGAUUAAAGUUCCCCCAAUUUAGAUUUCUGUAGACAAUGACUUUGUAGGAUUUCACACACUAGAUCUUAUAGACACAAGUGGAAAAUCUUCCCUCUAGAGAAAUCAUCAUUUUAUUCACUUUUUGGUUAACUCAGCCAUUUAUAUUUAGGUGUGGUGAUUUUACACGUGUUUAUAAUAAGAGUGUGUGUAGUGCCCUUAUUAUUAUUAAGGGACUUUUUAAUUUUAAUUUAUUAAAAGUGACGUUUUAAUUUAUGUGUAUUUCACUGGUGUCAAUAUAUAUAGAACUGGAAUCUCCAACUUUUCUCUUUUUUCCUUUUGUUACUCACAUCAUUUUUAUAUGGUUUUGUUAUGCAGAAAGUAUAUUUUUAAAAAUUGUGAAAAUUGUUAACUUUUCUGGCCAGUAGAUAAUUGAGUUUAGUAUGUUUCUAAAACUCAAUUAUAUCACAGGCUCAGAGGAGGAGUCUGGUGUUGUAUAAAUUGAAUGUCCUUGCUUCCAUUAAACCAGUCUUGUUCCAGCAUUAAGCUUUGGCUCAUGUGUGGAUUAUUAUGCGAUACCGGCGAUAUUUUUUCCUGUGGAUUAUUGGCGAUAUUAUUUUAUGGGAAUAAGGGAAUACUAGACGGUUUUACCUAUUCAGACCGUCACACUCUCCCAGUCUCCACUCCUUCAAAAUAAUAAAAACCCACUUCUUCAUAAAAGCGUAUCACUUAAACUGUUAAUAGCGCCCGACUGAUUCCUCUUCUGCAACUGUCAUUAGUCUAAUACUAUCCUUACCUUUUGUGUCACUUUACCCCACUCCCUCUAGCAUGUAAUCUCAUUGAGCCGACCCCUUUGUUCCUGCGUGUCCAACUUGUCUGGUUACAACUACAUGUUUGUUCGUCCACCCACUGCGCUGCGGAAUUUGUUGGCGCUAUAUAAAUAAUAACAUAAUAAUAAAAACAAUCUGACAUGGUGUAAGUGGCACCUGACUGGUCACACACACAGUGUUCUCCUCUGCCUUUAGUUUCUGGUCAUACCUCCAAAUCUAAAAAAACAGAUGAGUAAAACCAUGUUUUAUUUUUUUGUUACAACUCUGAGAUUCAGACACUGCGGAUGCUCAAGCUGCCUCCUGCGAUAUCAUGUUAACAAUGUUUCUCAUUGAAGAUCAUUGUAGACAAAAAGUGCAUGUACUGCCAGCUUUGCUCCCUCUUUUAAAAUGGAGUUUAACUGAUCCCACAGCAGAUGUACCUCUAGUGACUGUCAGGAAUACAGCCACUAGAUGCUUAUUUAACACUGUAAGGUAAGCAUUUCCAUAUUUACUAUAUGGCAAUGUUUUACUUUGCAGGGCUAACAUUGAAUUGGUUUGGGUGCCUUAUUAGUCAUUUAAAGAAAGACUACAAACUGUAAUGGUUAUGGUGCCAGGGGUGCUCUGAUGCCCUCCAGUGUAAGCAAUCAUACUAUUUCCUAAAGGAUUUACAACCUAUCUGUGGUUCACUUGGCUCCAUUCAUCUUCUCCUUGAGAGCAGGAGCUGUUAUCAUUGACCUACGGCAGGAUUUAAUUCAGGAGAUCUAACAAGUCUCCAUGCUUCUAUCUAUCAAAGUGCCAGCUGAUGUCACGUAAGCAAACAGCUUGACUAUUUACACUUGGAGGCAUCAGGACACUCAUGACACCAUAACCGCUACAGAUCCCAUAGAGGGUGAUUUUUAAUGUUUAUUAUACCUAUGAAGGUAAUAUAACUAAUAGCCCCUUUAAGCAUAGCAAGCAAGGCUUCUCUGUUUUGCCCUCAUGUUAUGUAUCAUUUGUACAUGUAUUUGAGAAUGUUGGCUUCCACAUAAUUAUUUAUUUUUGUGUUGCAGGAUUGUGCACUAGAGCUCAGUGAUGAAGAUGGACAACGUUGCUAUCCACUAGAAGACCGAUUACUUUGUCAUAAUUGCCACAUGAAACACCUUGAAAAAGACAGCUUGUUAUAAUUCAAACUCAAUAAUAGUUAUGUUUUGAAUCAUAUUACAUAUUUUAAUCUAUUCAAUACCCAUGUUCAGUUUAAACAUAAGCAUUACUUUAUUUUAACAAAGUAAUAUACAAUAUUGUUCCUUAAUAUAAUGUCUGUUGAUUAUCACAUUUCUGUUUAAAGUCCAUCACACCUGGAAAAGGAGUAACUCCCACAUAAAAUAAAGCAACAGCUUAAGACAGCCAUCAACAAACCUGCUUCUUCAUUUUGAUAAUGAGGCUCCUAAUAUGAUUGGUUUUAUUUCAGCAAGUCUGGACUGGCUUUUUUCUAAUACUUUUCAUUACCUAGGAAAAGAAAACUAUACAUUUAUUCACUAAUGUGUGCUUGUUUUCAUUUAGACUCCCCCCAGCCUCCCUAAAGAUCUUAUUUUUUUAAGCUUAGCUGCAGAGAAUCCAUAUGAUCUGGUGCAUUUUCUUAAGCUUCUGGUGCUUCAUGUGCCAAUGCUUUACUCUCUUACUUCAUAGACACUGACGUAUAUGGAGUAUCUUGCCAAACCUUGGAAGCCUGCAUAGACAAAGCCUUGCCCCAGCUGGCAAUAGUCAAGCUUUCUCAAAACAAAAAUACAUAGGAAGUAGUACCUGCAUUUUCUGAUACCUUUUGACAGCGCAUUUUGGUAAACAUUCCAAUACAGUCUGUAUGAGUAUUUCAUCAAUAUUUUAUCUUUACGAAAAGCACAUUUUUGAGGGGUGUGGGAAGGGUUGAGAGAGCUGCUUUAAG